rnacentral:rRNA from 1 species
AGCGAACGCUGGCGGCAGGCCUAACACAUGCAAGUCGAACGAACUCUUCGGAGUUAGUGGCGGACGGGUGAGUAACACGUGGGAACGUGCCUUUUGGUUCGGAAUAACUCAGGGAAACUUGUGCUAAUACCGAAUGUGCCCUUCGGGGGAAAGAUUUAUCGCCAUUAGAGCGGUCCGCGUCUGAUUAGCUAGUUGGUGAGGUAACGGCUCACCAAGGCGACGAUCAGUAGCUGGUCUGGGAGGAUGACCAGCCACACUGGGACUGAGACACGGCCCAGACUCCUACGGGAGGCAGCAGUGGGGAAUCUUGCGCAAUGGGCGAAAGCCUGACGCAGCCAUGCCGCGUGAAUGAUGAAGGUCUUAGGAUUGUAAAAUUCUUUCACCGGGGACGAUAAUGACGGUACCCGGAGAAGAAGCCCCGGCUAACUUCGUG